AGAGUGCGACGGGAUGACAGACCCCUUCAGUGCCGCCCCCGGAUCCAAGUUCCAGCUCCAGCUCCCAACGUCCCACGAGCUCCACACACAGAUAUUCACUCACACACACACACUCACGCACACACGCAUACUGGCGAACGUAUAACUUGACCUACAUUUGUGCAAGACAAUAACAACGAAAAAAAGCAACAAGACAAUACACACAUACAAAACAAAAUAACAAAAUUUACACACAACGCUCUGAGAAAUGAAAAAAGAAAAGGCAAGAAAUUUCCAACGGUACAUGAGCUGCUGGCCGGGCCUGAAUCAAUGUUUAUAUUGUAUAUGAAUCGCCAGGGCUUCGGAAUCGGGGUAUCAACGAAUUCGCUUUUCGAUUCACAGGCCUCGCUCACUGGGCUUUGUUUCUGCCCAAAAGUUAUUAUCGUAAAAUUGAUUUCAUUGAAGUAGCUGUCUUCGUCAUCGGAUCGUCUUGGUUUGGUCGACGCUUUUGCACACAUAUGUAUCUGUAUCUUGUAGUAUGUAUGCUAUACAUCGCUUUCUGGUACACUCCGCUUAUGUAUGUAUAUUGAUAAUUAGGCGAAAGGUGAAUAAACCCAUUGGCUCGAUGCCGCCGCUCCGCGUUCAAUUUACACAUUUUUGGUAUUUUGGUAAAAGAAAUCGAGUCAGCAGACUGCAGCCCAUGGAUCGGCGGUUCCGCAUUGGAAAACGCUAGAAGACACCACAAAUAGAAAGCGACAGUGGAAGUCAAGUCAAUCUGGGACAUAAACAGCUCUCUGGAUGAUUCGGUGGUCAUAUGGGUCUUCAUUGGGGAAAUCUAUAGUUUCUUAUUACAUUAAAGAAAUAAAUGCUACCUUUAUUAUGAAAUACAAUUCAAAAUCGACAAACAUGUUUGUAGUU
ensembl:ncRNA lncRNA:CR43642 long non-coding RNA:CR43642